rnacentral:rRNA from 1 species
GCUUACACAUGCAAGUCGAACGCACCUUCGGGUGAGUGGCAGACGGGUGAGUAACGCGUGGGAACCUUCCCUGUGGUACGGAAUAACUUCGGGAAACCGAAGCUAAUACCGUAUAUCUCCUCCGGGAGAAAGAUUUAUCGCCAUAGGAUGGGCCCGCGUUGGAUUAGCUAGUUGGUAGGGUAAUGGCCUACCAAGGCAACGAUCCAUAGCUGGUCUGAGAGGAUGAUCAGCCACACUGGGACUGAGACACGGCCCAGACUCCUACGGGAGGCAGCAGUGGGGAAUAUUGGACAAUGGGCGCAAGCCUGAUCCAGCCAUGCCGCGUGAGUGAAGAAGGCCUUAGGGUUGUAAAGCUCUUUUGGCGGGGACGAUAAUGACGGUACCCGCAGAAUAAGCCCCGGCUAACUUCGUGCCAGCAGCCGCGGUAAUACGAAGGGGGCUAGCGUUGUUCGGAAUCACUGGGCGUAAAGCGCACGCAGGCGGAUUGAUAAGUCAGGGGUGAAAUCCCGGGGCUCAACCUCGGAAUUGCCUUUGAUACUGUCUGUCUUGA